AGCGAACGCUGGCGGCAGGCCUAACACAUGCAAGUCGAGCGAACUCUUCGGAGUUAGUGGCGGACGGGUGAGUAACACGUGGGAACGUGCCUUUUGGUUCGGACUAACUCAGGGACACUUGUGCUAAUACCGAAUGUGCCCUUCGGGGGAAAGAUUUAUCGCCAUUAGAGCGGCCCGCGUCUGAUUAGCUAGUUGUUGAGGUAACGGCUCACCAAGGCGACGAUCAGUAGCUGGUCUGAGAGGAUGACCAGCCACACUGGGACUGAGACACGGCCCAGACUCCUACGGGAGGCAGCAGUGGGGAAUCUUGCGCAAUGGGCGAAAGCCUGACGCAGCCAUGACGCGUGAAUGAUGAAGGUCUUAGGAUUGUAAAAUGCUUUCACCGGGGAAGAUAAUGACGGUACCCGGAGAAGAAGCCCCGGCUAACUUCGUG
rnacentral:rRNA from 1 species